AGGGACCCCCUUCACCCAUGCAUCCUCUGCGACCCCUCUACCUCUCUCUUCAGACAUUUCUGGGUUGCAUGGACCUUUAAUCACAAGUUCAUUUGGGGAUGGAAACAAUGCAUAUUGUGCAGUAUUAAGACAGGCUGCAUUUACUAACAAGAUAUUUAUGUUGUUUGUAGAGGAUUUCCUAUCCCCAGGACCUGGCCCAGGCUGAGAGAAGCUGUGUGGAGUGGAAGAUGGACAUUGAGGAAGAAGGGCAGGUGUGGUCUCACCCAGAAUGGUUCCUGCUGCUUCCGCGGUGCCCAGGCUUUUCUCACGGCCUCUGCUGGGUUCUCCCCUGGGUGCUGUGGAUGCAUCCUGCCUGCUGGAAAUUCUGUGCUCUCUGUUUCCAUCCCUUUGUCGUGGUAAUGACCGUAUACCUCUCCCCUGUACCCUCCUCUGCCUGCUCUCCGUGCAGGCCCCUCUCCCUCUGGUUGUCCCAUCAGCAUUUCCCCACAGCUCGUUGUUCCUCCUUCCUCUUUUCUGGUGACCUUUCUACUGAUUGCAUUGUACCUCUUUCCCUGAUAUUAAAGAUGUUUUUAAAAACAACAGA
ensembl:lncRNA novel transcript